UCUCCUUAAAAUCAUGAAAAUGCUUCUUCAUUAACUGUUGGACCUCUUGUAAAUAUUUCUGAUAUAUAAUGAUAUUGGGGUAAUAACCAGCCAAAUGCUCUUUCAAUCUCGUCACUCCACCCUACUCUAUUCCAUAUCACACCACGGUGUCUACUUGAAAUCAUUAUAGUAUAUGUUAGCAUCCUUGUCUUUCUCUUUCCUUCUUAAAUCUUUUUCUAUAAAUUUCAUGAACACAUAUGUUGCCCAGAAGUAUAGCAACCC
rnacentral:lncRNA from 1 species